AAAGUAUUUUAUCUCUAGGCAGUCGUGAACUAUCAAUUGUUUAUUACUCGGGCGACUCUCACUAAACAUGGUUGACUGAUGAUUAUGACUUUUUUUUUAAUAACAGAAAUAUAAGACAUAUAAGAAAUAUAAGACAUUUCUGAGUUUAUAUUAUUUGCCUCAUCAAUGUUGUAAAUAUUAAAAUUCUGAGUUUGAAUUUCUACGUAGCGUGCCUUUAAGCAAACAAAGAAACUGGAGAUGGACAACGUCCGCCCACAUUUAUAACUUGUACACUUAAACUUAUCUAUUGCCCGUUAACUGACAUUAUUAUCUGUGGUGUUUACGAUGUAGUUUAUCUCUGGGCACUCGUGAACUUCAGACUUUCAAGUGUUACUUUACAUUACUCAGGCGACCCUCACUAAAGGCAGCUGAAUUUCUUCGGUAAAAAUACGUAGUGCCCCUUUAACCAAGCAAAGCAACUGCAGACAACUUCCGCCCACCUGUACAACCUGACUUUCAAGAGUUACCUCAUUACUCGGGCGACUCUCACUAAACUUGGUAGUCUGAUGAUUAUGAUUUUUAAAAAACAGAAACCGAAAAAGAUUUAAAACCUCCUCACAGUGAGAGUAAAUAGAAGAGGUCAGCUGUCUCCAGCUCAGUGAAGAGCGCCACAGAAAUGCUUGUGCAGGUCAGAGUGCAUGGACUCAGAGGGGAGGAGAGGAUCAUCGACCUGUGCGACACCAAGGAGCAGUUAAAGAGCAUCACAGUGCUGCAGCUGCAGAAGAUGAUCGAGUUCACCUUUGGAGAAAAAUGCGACAGGCUGGUCUUUGGAGCCAUGCUACUGGAGGAAGAGGCUCUGCUGUCCGACUGUGGAAUCAAACACAUGUCGACCAUUCACACGAUUGUACUGUUACCAGGGGUUUGAUCCGGGAGAGGGAGAUGGUGGAAUGGGUGACAGGGAGGGCAAAAACAGAAGGAUGGAAAAGUUCCAUCUUUUAUAAACAUACUCUGGAUGUAUAUGUCUCUUAUUGGGAAACAUUUAAACGACACACAGCACAGCUUCACACAAUUCUUUUUUUUUUUUUUUUCUUUCACUGUUGUAUCAGCUAGUGUUGGACCAGCUGACAUGGCUGUAAGCUAUGGAUUUGUAGUAGCCUUAGCACAUGCUGUCUGUCUGGCUGGUCACUGAUGGACAGUUAACACUUUGAGGAUCCAUGUGUGGCAGCACCAGGUGAAAAGCAGCUGAGACACACUCGGAUCUACUCCUCCUCGCAAUGUUUAAGUAUUAAAACCACCUGAAUACUAAACAUGUGCAACAGAUGUCGAGAGGAUUACUCUUGUUCAUCGUGACACAGAUGUGUGUACAGAUGUGUAUUCAGUUUCCCUCGACACCAAAGUGAUGUUGUGUGAGACUCUGGAAGUUUUUUUUUUUUUUUUUUUUUUUUUACAGAACAUGUGUGUAAUCUAAUUACACCUUUUUUCUCUGACUGUAACAGGAUACAGUUACUUUUCUGUAUCCUAACUAUAUAAUCCUGUUAAAUCUGUAGUGUCCGUUAUUUCUUCUGACUUUGUUGGAUAUUAAACUAGU